GAUGAAGAACGCAGCAAAAUGCGAUAAGUAAUGUGAAUUGCAGAAUUCAGUGAAUCAUCGAAUCUUUGAAAGCACAUUGCGCCCGCCAGUAUUCUGGCGGGCAUGCCUGUUCGAGCGUCAUUUCAACCCUCAAGCACAGCUUGGUGUUGGGACUCGCGUUAAUUCGCGUUCCUCAAAUUGAUUGGCGGUCACGUCGAGCUUCCAUAGCGUAGUAGUAAAACCCUCGUUACUGGUAAUCGUCGCGGCCACGCCGUUAAACCCCAACUUCUGAAUGUUGACCUCGGAUCAGGUAGGAAUACCCGCUGAACUUAAGCAUAUCAAUAAGCGGAGGA
rnacentral:misc_RNA from 1 species